UUAAGCGACUAAGCGUACACGGUGGAUGCCUAGGCAGUCAGAGGCGAUGAAGGGCGUGCUAAUCUGCGAUAAGCGUCGGUAAGCUGAUAUGAAGCGUUACAACCGACGAUACCCGAAUGGGGAAACCCAGUGCAAUUCGUUGCACUAUUGCAUGGUGAAUACAUAGCCAUGCAAGGCGAACCGGGGGAACUGAAACAUCUAAGUACCCCGAGGAAAAGAAAUCAACCGAGAUUCCCCUAGUAGCGGCGAGCGAACGGGGAAGAGCCCAGAGUCUGAAUCAGUUUGUGUGUUAGUGGAAGCGUCUGGAAAGUCGCAGGGUACAGGGUGAUACUCCCGUACACAAAAACACACUUGCUGUGAACUCGAUGAGUAGGGCGGGACACGUGACAUCCUGUCUGAAUAUGGGGGGACCAUCCUCCAAGGCUAAAUACUCCUGACUGACCGAUAGUGAACCAGUACCGUGAGGGAAAGGCGAAAAGAACCCCGGCGAGGGGAGUGAAAUAGAACCUGAAACCGUGUACGUACAAGCAGUGGGAGCCUUGAUUUAUCAGGGUGACUGCGUACCUUUUGUAUAAUGGGUCAGCGACUUAUAUUUUGUAGCAAGGUUAACCGAAUAGGGGAGCCGUAGGGAAACCGAGUCUUAACUGGGCGUCUAGUUGCAAGGUAUAGACCCGAAACCCGGUGAUCUAGCCAUGGGCAGGUUGAAGGUUGGGUAACACUAACUGGAGGACCGAACCGACUAAUGUUGAAAAAUUAGCGGAUGACUUGUGGCUGGGGGUGAAAGGCCAAUCAAACCGGGAGAUAGCUGGUUCUCCCCGAAAGCUAUUUAGGUAGCGCCUCGUGAACUCAUCUUCGGGGGUAGAGCACUGUUUCGGCUAGGGGGUCAUCCCGACUUACCAAACCGAUGCAAACUCCGAAUACCGAAGAAUGUUAUCACGGGAGACACACGGCGGGUGCUAACGUCCGUCGUGAAGAGGGAAACAACCCAGACCGCCAGCUAAGGUCCCAAAGUCAUGGUUAAGUGGGAAACGAUGUGGGAAGGCAUAGACAGCCAGGAUGUUGGCUUAGAAGCAGCCAUCAUUUAAAGAAAGCGUAAUAGCUCACUGGUCGAGUCGGCCUGCGCGGAAGAUGUAACGGGGCUAAACCAUGCACCGAAGCUGCGGCAGCGACGCUUAGGCGUUGUUGGGUAGGGGAGCGUUCUGUAAGCCGUUGAAGGUGACCUGUGAGGGUUGCUGGAGGUAUCAGAAGUGCGAAUGCUGACAUAAGUAACGAUAAUGCGGGUGAAAAACCCGCACGCCGGAAGACCAAGGGUUCCUGUCCAACGUUAAUCGGGGCAGGGUGAGUCGACCCCUAAGGCGAGGCUGAAAAGCGUAGUCGAUGGGAAACAGGUUAAUAUUCCUGUACUUGGUGUUACUGCGAAGGGGGGACGGAGAAGGCUAGGCUAGCCGGGCGACGGUUGUCCCGGUUUAAGCAUGUAGGCGGAGCGACUUGGUAAAUCCGGUUGCUUAUCAACGCUGAGGUGUGAUGACGAGCCACUACGGUGGUGAAGUAGUUGAUGCCAAGCUUCCAGGAAAAGCCUCUAAGCAUCAGGUAACAUUAAAUCGUACCCCAAACCGACACAGGUGGUCAGGUAGAGAAUACUCAGGCGCUUGAGAGAACUCGGGUGAAGGAACUAGGCAAAAUGGUGCCGUAACUUCGGGAGAAGGCACGCUGGCAUUAGGUAAUGGGACUUGCUCCCGGCGCCGAAGCCAGUCGCAGAUACCAGCUGGCUGCAACUGUUUAAUAAAAACACAGCACUGUGCAAACACGAAAGUGGACGUAUACGGUGUGACGCCUGCCCGGUGCUGGAAGGUUAAUUGAUGGGGUCAGCCGCAAGGCGAAGCUCUUGAUCGAAGCCCCAGUAAACGGCGGCCGUAACUAUAACGGUCCUAAGGUAGCGAAAUUCCUUGUCGGGUAAGUUCCGACCUGCACGAAUGGCGUAAUGAUGGCCAGGCUGUCUCCACCCGAGACUCAGUGAAAUUGAACUCGCUGUGAAGAUGCAGUGUACCCGCGGCAAGACGGAAAGACCCCGUGAACCUUUACUAUAGCUUGACACUGAACAUUGAGCCUUGAUGUGUAGGAUAGGUGGGAGGCAUCGAAGCGUGGACGCCAGUCUGCGUGGAGCCAACCUUGAAAUACCACCCUUUAAUGUUUGAUGUUCUAACUCGGCCCCGUAAUCCGGGGUGAGGACAGUGUCUGGUGGGUAGUUUGACUGGGGCGGUCUCCUCCCAAAGAGUAACGGAGGAGCACGAAGGUUAGCUAAUCACGGUCGGACAUCGUGAGGUUAGUGCAAAGGCAUAAGCUAGCUUGACUGCGAGAGUGACGGCUCGAGCAGGUACGAAAGUAGGUCUUAGUGAUCCGGUGGUUCUGAAUGGAAGGGCCAUCGCUCAACGGAUAAAAGGUACUCCGGGGAUAACAGGCUGAUACCGCCCAAGAGUUCAUAUCGACGGCGGUGUUUGGCACCUCGAUGUCGGCUCAUCACAUCCUGGGGCUGAAGUAGGUCCCAAGGGUAUGGCUGUUCGCCAUUUAAAGUGGUACGCGAGCUGGGUUUAGAACGUCGUGAGACAGUUCGGUCCCUAUCUGCCGUGGGCGUUGGAAGAUUGAGAGGGGCUGCUCCUAGUACGAGAGGACCGGAGUGGACGAAUCACUGGUGUUCGGGUUGUCAUGCCAAUGGCAUUGCCCGGUAGCUAAAUUCGGAAGAGAUAACCGCUGAAAGCAUCUAAGCGGGAAACUUGCCUCGAGAUGAGUCUUCCCUGGGGCUUUAAGCCCCCUGAAGGAACGUUAAAGACUAUGACGUUGAUAGGCUGGGUGUGUAAGUGCAGCGAUGCAUUGAGCUAACCAGUACUAAUGAUCCGUGAGGCUUAACCUU
rnacentral:rRNA from 1 species